CCCUCCCCACGAGUCUGUAGUGGUGCGUCUCCACGACGGCGGUGGCAGGGUCGCGGACGCCGCCCCAUCGCGGCGAGGAGCCGAGCUGACGCAAGCCUGUCAGCGUCUGCACCCUCGGAGGACGCGUCAAGGUGCCGGUCGGCGGCAGAUGACCGACUACACUCUCCAUCAGAGCACUCUCCAAGAUCAGGUGCGCAUCACACCGUACCUGAUUAUCACGACACUGUUGCUGAUGGGAGUAGGUCUCGUCUUAUACCACCUCUACAGUGACGCCACCGGCUCAAGAUGGCAGUUUGCUUACUAGCAGCGACUCAAAAAAGUACUUUUCAGUAUAGGGACGUCCAGGAUCCGUGCUGGCAGAAAAGGCACGUGUUCCUCGGCCCGAACCGUCACUGUGUGCGGUGCAGGAUGCGGCGUCGUGUUGAUUUGCUGUGCUUCAUCUUUUGUGCGGGAUACAUGCCGUCUGCCACCAAAAGAGUGGUCUGCUUUCGGAGAAAGCCUCAAUUCUGCCGCCUGCCUGGCCAGUAGCCUGGUGGCUUACCACUACUUAAUAUAUUCGCUGGAUGUUC
rnacentral:lncRNA from 1 species